rnacentral:rRNA from 1 species
UACAGAGGGAGCGAGCGUUGUUCGGAAUUACUGGGCGUAAAGGGCGCGUAGGCGGCCUCUUAAGUCGAACGUGAAAUCCCCAGGCUCAACCUGGGAACUGCGUCCGAUACUGGGAGGCUUGAAUUCGGGAGAGGGAUGUGGAAUUCCAGGUGUAGCGGUGAAAUGCGUAGAUAUCUGGAGGAACACCGGUGGCGAAGGCGGCAUCCUGGACCGGCAUUGACGCUGAGGCGCGAAAGCCAGGGGAGCAAACGGG